AGCGGACGGCUGCAGCGGCAACGGCGGCGGCGGUGGCGGCGGUUGCUGUUGCUGCUGCUGCUGCUGCUGCUGUUGCUGCUGCUGCUGGUCCGAU